AACGAACGCUGGCGGCAGGCCUAACACAUGCAAGUCGAGCGAGGACUUCGGUUCUAGCGGCGGACGGGUGAGUAACGCGUGGGAAUGUGCCCUUCUCUACGGAAUAGCCCUGGGAAACUGGGAGUAAUACCGUAUACGCCCUAUUGGGGAAAGAUUUAUCGGAGAAGGAUCAGCCCGCGUUGGAUUAGGUAGUUGGUGGGGUAAUGGCCUACCAAGCCGACGAUCCAUAGCUGGUUUGAGAGGAUGAUCAGCCACACUGGGACUGAGACACGGCCCAGACUCCUACGGGAGGCAGCAGUGGGGAAUCUUAGACAAUGGGGGCAACCCUGAUCUAGCCAUGCCGCGUGAGUGAUGAAGGCCUUAGGGUGGUAAAGCUCUUUCAGCUGGGAAGAUAAGGACGGUACCAGCAGAAGAAACCCCGGCUAACUCCGU
rnacentral:rRNA from 1 species